rnacentral:snRNA from 1 species
GCCAUAGGUUAGUAGAGUUCUUAGUCAUUGAUAUAGAGAAGAUUAUCAUGGGCCCUGUGCAAGGAGGACAUGCAAAUUCAUGAAGCAUUCCAUAUUUUU